ACUGCUCAGUAACACGUGGACAACCUGCCCUUAGGUUGGGUAUAAACCCGGGAAACUGGGUAUAAUACCCGAUAGGUCUCGAUUGCUGGAAUGCAUCGAGAUUUAAAGCUCCGGCGCCUAAGGAUGGGUCUGCGGCCUAUCAGGUAGUAGUGGGUGUAGCGUACCUACUAGCCUACGACGGGUACGGGUUGUGAGAGCAAGAGCCCGGAGAUGGAUUCUGAGACACGAAUCCAGGCCCUACGGGGUGCAGCAGGCGCGAAAACUUUACAAUGCUGGCAACAGCGAUAAGGGAACCUCGAGUGCCAGGUUACAAAUCUGGCUGUCGAGAUGCCUAAAAAGCAUUUCAUAGCAAGGGCCGGGCAAGACCGGUGCCAGCCGCCGCGGUAACACCGGCGGCUCGAGUGGUAACCGUUAUUAUUGGGUCUAAAGGGUCUGUAGCCGGCCGGAUAGGUCUCUUGAGAAAUCUGGCAGCUUAACUGUCAGGCUUUCAGGAGAUACUGUCUGGCUCGAGGCCGGGAGAGGUGAGAGGUACUUCAGGGGUAGGGGUGAAAUCUUGUAAUCCUUGAAGGACCACCAGUGGCGAAGGCGUCUCACCAGAACGGACCUGACGGCAAGGGACGAAAGCUAGGGGCACGAACCGGAUUAGAUACCCGGGUAGUCCUAGCCGUAAACGAUACUCGCUAGGUGUCGGCCACGGUGCGACCGUUGUCGGUGCCGUAGGGAAGCCGUGAAGCGAGCCACCUGGGAAGUACGGCCGCAAGGCUGAAACUUAAAGGAAUUGGCGGGGGAGCACCACAACGGGUGGAGCUUGCGGUUUAAUUGGAUUCAACGCCGGAAAUCUUACCGGGACCGACAGCAAUAUGAAGGCCAGGCUGAAGACUUUGCCGGAUUAGCUGAGAGGUGGUGCAUGGCCGUCGUCAGUUCGUACUGUGAAGCAUCCUGUUAAGUCAGGCAACGAGCGAGACCCGCACC
rnacentral:rRNA from 1 species